rnacentral:lncRNA from 1 species
CAAUCCUCUUUGUCCUGGGCUUCCUCGUGCUGGUGCUGACCACCCUGGCCAUCGUGUUCCAGCCUGCUGGCCCCAAAAUUAGCCCCCUAAAGAGCUGGAAGCCACGAUGGAGGAGCCUGGGGGAGCCCCACGUCCCACCAGAGUACAUCCUCCUUAAGGACAGCCUCAAGUUCUAUCAGAUGCUUGGUCCUCGUGGGUCUGGAGCAGAUGCUGGCUCUGGAGAGAGAGGAGCAGUGCCUGGUGCAGAGCACAGCCUCAGCCCCAGGCUCCUGGAGGAUUUCAGUGUCCACACCCUCUAUGACAAGCUGGAGGAUCAGAAUUUGCACCUGGCCUCUCAGCUGGCAAAGCACAGGAUGGACGUGCUGGUGUUCCACAACGGGAUCAGCCACAGGAUCCAGAGCCUGGUGGACACGGUGCAAGCUCUGGACUGGGAAGGCCUGAAAACCUUUUCCAGGCGAGGGAUUUGUGGGCAGAAAGCUGCAGAGCAGAGCUGGGCAGCAGUGGGUGCAGAUCACUGGAACAACAACUUCCAGGCAGGUGCCCCGUGGCAAGAGGUGACAGAGUUAAUGAGAGCUCUGGAAGUGCUGCUUGGGAACGUUCCUGACGGGAGCAGGGCUGCAAACCCAGAGAUGGAGCUCAGGAUCCAAGCACAGGCUGCACUGGGAGCUGUGCCCUCCCUGCACAGCCUGGCCAGUGAAAAUAAAUCCGAAGGGCAGGUGAGCUGCAGGUGUCUGUUUGGGGCCAUCUCUCACCUUUCUGAGAGUUUUUCCAUUUCUUUAACUUCUGAGCCCUUUUUAUCCUGCAGGAUCCUGAGCUGUUGA